GUCGCAGGGGAUGAAGGCUCAAAGUCUUCCUCUCCCGCUCGCCCGGUGCCUGGGCGCGGCAUCGGGCGAGCGGGGGGCGAGACCGCCCGCGGAUUGACUGUGGGGGUCUCUCUGGAGGCGGGGAGCGCACAGAGCGCCAUGUCGGCUGUGGGGAAGUGAUGGAGGAGGCGGCGGCGGGUGCACUGCACUGCGCGCCGGCGGAGAGCUCAUAAAAGAACUACAACUCCCAUGAAGCCCCGCGUCACGUGCUGGACCCGCCAUUUCUGUUCGGGCCACAGCGCCCCUGCCGGCCCGGCGGACCGACCUCAGGGAAAGGGGAUCCUGAUGCCCGCCCUGAACCCCAGAGACCGCAAAACUCAGCACACAGAGAUCCUACAGGGAGGGUUCAGCAGUGGGGUUCAGGGGGUCACCCAGCCCCCAGGGGAGGGGGCCUGGUGGUGCCCCCCAAAGUCCAGGGACGAGAUGUACCACAUCCGGCCCCAUUAACCCCCCCUUCCCCAGGCGGUUCCUUUGCCCAUGGGCAGCAAAGCCCCCACUGCUUCUGCAACUGGAGAGUGUUGGAGCCGUGGACCAUUAACAUUCCAGUCUCUCCCAGCUCUGCAUCCCAAAAGUCGAGAGGGAUCAGUCUGUCACCUCAAAGUGAAUCAAUCCCAUUGAAAAUGGCUCGAUCCCAUUCCAAAACAUCUGUUUCUUAUUUUCCCUAUGUAAUUCUGGGGCAGCCGGUGCCACUCCUCAGCUCUCAGCAGGCUGAGGCUUGGCCUUGCACUUUUGCCUUUGCUGGAUUUCUUCAUCAAAUAUUUCUCUCUCCCUGAAAAGAAACAUAUGGAAGGUUUUCAAUAAUCUGGACAUCUUUAGACCAUCUGGACAAAUGACAGUUUGCAGUGUUGGAACAGCUCAGCCACAACGUUUUCCAUGUUUAAUCAUUUAUUCCCAUCCCUCCCAGGAGGGAGGACACUGAACUCUUCCACAGAAACAGAAACAGAAAACUAGUAACAAAAAUUCAGAGACUACUGAAAACGAAAAAUACCUUUUGCUCACAGGUGGCCCUUUCACGUCCUUCUCUUCUGCCUUCCUGCAAUCCACGUUAUCCACGGCAGCAGUUGCCUAGAUCAUGGCCCAAAAAAGCUUUUUAAUUCAUUUAUAAUCAUUCCAGAAAACUGAAUCACAGCUGGGGGGUGGGAGACCAAACAGGUGUUCAGGCGGGAGAGC